UACGUAGGGUGCGAGCGUUGUCCGGAAUUAUUGGGCGUAAAGAGCUCGUAGGCGGUUUGUUGCGUCUAUCGUGAAAACCUGCAGCUUAACUGUGGGCUUGCGGUGGAUACGGGCAGACUUGAGUUCGGUAGGGGAGACUGGAAUUCCUGGUGUAGCGGUGAAAUGCGCAGAGUAUCAGGAGGAACACCGGUGGCGAAGGCGGGUCUCUGGGCCGAUACUGACGCUGAGGAGCGAAAGCGUGGGGAGCGAACAGG
rnacentral:rRNA from 1 species